AGUGGAGUUGUGUGUUAGCUUUUGCAGCCAUGGCUACAGCCUCUGAUCCAAUGGAGCUUCUCCAGAGGAUGCAACACACAAAUGAACUUUCGCUCGAACGGUUGGCAACUAUUACACAGUCUGCACUGGGGCUUGCCACACAUCUUGCUCAGAUCGACAGAUCCGUCCAUGACGUUCGGCCGACACCACCUCCCUUGCAGUAGUUCGACAGGAGGGUAGAGCCAUGGUCCUGCUACAUCACAAGGAUGGAACAACAUUUUCUGGCACACGAUAUCUCAGGCAACUACAAGAAUGUAUAUUGACACAGACAGAGCCCCACAUGCCUGGAAGUGUGUCCCAGCACAGCUUACCUUCAGGCCAUGAUAUGCUUUGGAGUUUUGUGCCACCUUGUGAAGUGGCCAGUACAGUCAAGAUCUUCAUUCUCAAAUGUGAAAAUGUUAUACCAUCACCACCAACACUGAUUAUGUGCAUCUAGAGAUUAGGAUGGACAAGGACGGGAACUGCUGACCAGCUCUCAACUUGGGACUUCAGUUCUCCAAAUAUGAACUUUGUCUUGAAACUUGAGAUCCACGAUGUGCUCGACAUAUGGUGUAACUAAACUCAGAGGGACACAGUAGUUUGUUGGCUGCUUUAUAUAUGGUGACCAUUUGUAUUUUUGUUUCCAUAUUCAAAUCAAAUAAUUAUGUGUGUGUGUGUGUGUGUGUGUGUGUGUGUGUGUUUUUCUCAGUAAUACAGGGGUCAGUUUUCAAACAUGAACAUGACCUCCAGUUUGACUUCUUUUUUUACACAAGUUUAUUCUGAAAACAUAGGCAUUCCUCAAUGAAUAUUGGACAUAAUGGUGAAACAAUAUUUUAUUCAUUCAAGAAAAUAGCUUACAGACCUUGUGAAGAUAAGGUUCGGAUCAAAAAAGGAGCAUAAUACUGAAUAGCCAAAAAAUGUAGAAAAUAUUUGAACAGUUACAAAUGAAAAUAACAUCAUUAAAAUCUUCACUUAACAACA